UACGAAGGGGGCGAGCGUUGUUCGGAAUCACUGGGCGUAAAGGGCGCGUAGGCGGCCCUCCUAGUCGCGUGUGAAAGCCCCGGGCUCAACCUGGGAACGGCGCGCGAAACGGGGGGGCUGGAGUUCGGGAGAGGAGCGUGGAAUUCCCAGUGUAGAGGUGAAAUGCGUAGAUAUCUGGAGGAACACCGGUGGCGAAGGCGGCAUCCUGGACCGGUAUUGACGC
rnacentral:rRNA from 1 species